UCCACAGAUUUAUCUAUAUGCCAAAUGGGAAUACAAGGGACAUAGGAGAAAGACUUAUUUUUUUCCUGAGGAGAUACUUUCUUUAGUCUGCUACCAGCAAGCAAAGAAGAGAAUGCAACUGAAUCAUGAUCAUUUUGGAAGCUCCAAACAAAUGCAAACAAACAAAAACCAAAGCAACUAUAAUUUCUUUUAUGAAUGCGUAGAAUAAUUUACAGCCCCCUCAUGGCUGGAAAUGGACCAUAUCUAAACUGACAUGCUUGGACUGCCCCUUUUCUACACCUGUUGAUUCUUAUCCACCACAGGAAAGUUUCCCGUGGACUCCUCAUAUGCCUGAAAUGGCUCUACUCACGUCCAUGUUAGUGAUGAGGAAACUGGUAUUCAGAGAGCCUGAGCGCCUUGAGUCUGCAGAUGGAGCAGGAUCCGACGUUCAUUCCAUUUGACACCAAGACAGAUCUGUGUGAAGAAAUAAAACAUGACACCACUUAAAGCUGCCUCUGUUCCUGCCAGCUGUAAUUCAGGGUCAGGUGGUAGAGCUUGAGGUAAAGGGCAGUCAGAGAAAAGUUAAAUGGCUUCACAUGAAAUACUCUGCUUUGUCAGGGGCAAGCACAGGAGGCCUUGGCUGUGGGGUCUUGUGGAGUAAGGAGAGAGGCCGACUUCUUCACCUUGUCAGUGGAAAGCUCCAAGAGGACUUCUUGUGGAUGCACCUUAUAUAGGGCAGAUUAAUUAAAUCUGGCUCUGUCCCACCAAAAAAGAGAUUCUAAGUCACUUUAGGAGAGAGUCAACUGAGUGUUUAAUAUCACAAGCCUUAGCUAUGGUCAAACUUGGCUCUGUUUGUGGUUCUGGGGCACACACUGGUGCUCUGUUUGAUUUCUCUAAGCCUCAAAUUCUUCAUGGGUAAAUUGGAGAAUAAAACUAACAAUUCUUUUGAGAAUUAAUUGAGAUACUACAUGUAAAAGGGCUUAAUUCAGUGCCUAGUGGUGUUAUAAUGGCUACUAUCAUCUUUAGGUAAUUACUAAGCUGUAGUGAAAAGGACACAAAUUUUGGGGUUAAACUGAUGUGGGUUCAAACCCCUCUCCUACCAAUUACCCAUUGUAUGAAACUGGGCAGAUUACUUACCCUUCUCUGAGCCACAUAUUCUCUGUGUAUUGGGUCUAUUACUACUCUAUGGGUCUUAGCAAAAUGUAUUUUUGUUUAAGCUGCUCAUCAGCCAUGUAAGGGGAAAAAUGAGUGCUUUCAGCCUUGGAGACUAUACUACCUUGCCUUGCUCAACGUUCUCCCAAGCACUUUGCUGACAUAUAAGUCACACUCUGUUCACUUACGCCUUCUAUUUUUAAACAUUUACCAUUUAAAUAAAAUACACAAAAUUACAGAAAAACAAAGCAUAUACUCAUACACCCAACACAAAGAUUAAAGAAAUAUUAACAUUUUCAUAUUUUGCAGAUGUCUGUCUUUCUAAGAAAUAAAACAUUAAGAUAGAGUUAAAA